rnacentral:rRNA from 1 species
CCCUAGUAACGGCGAGUGAAGCGGCAACAGCUCAAAUUUGAAAUCUGGCUCUUUCAGAGUCCGAGUUGUAAUUUGCAGAGGGCGCUUUGGCGUUGGCAGCGGUCCAAGUUCUUUGGAACAGGACGUCACAGAGGGUGAGAAUCCCGUACGUGGUCGCUAGACUUCGCCGUGUAAAGCCCCUUCGACGAGUCGAGUUGUUUGGGAAUGCAGCUCUAAAUGGGAGGUAAAUUUCUUCUAAAGCUAAAUACUGGCCAGAGACCGAUAGCGCACAAGUAGAGUGAUCGAAAGAUGAAAAGCACUUUGGAAAGAGAGUCAAAUAGCACGUGAAAUUGUUGAAAGGGAAGCGCUUGCAGCCAGACUUGCCUGUAGUUGCUUAUCCAGACUUUUGUCUGGUGCACUCUUCUAUAGGCAGGCCAGCAUCAGUUUGGGCGGUUGGAUAAAGGUCUCUAUCACGUACCUCUCUUCGGGGAGGCCUUAUAGGGGAGACGACAUACAACCAGCCUGGACUGAGGUCCGCGCAUCUGCUAGGAUGCUGGCGUAAUGGCUGUAAGCGGCCCGUCUUGAAACACGGACCAAGGAGUCUAACAUCUAUGCGAGUGUUUGGGUGUCAAGCCCAUACGCGUAAUGAAAGUGAACGGAGGUGGGAACCUUUUAGGUGCACCAUCGACCGAUCCUGAUGUCUUCGGAUGGAUUUGAGUAAGAGCAUGGCUGUUGGGACCCGAAAGAUGGUGAACUAUGCUUGAAUAGGGUGAAGCCAGAGGAAACUCUGGUGGAGGCUCGCAGCGGUUCUGACGUGCAAAUCGAUCGUCAAAUUUGGGCAUAGGGGCGAAAGACUAAUCG